rnacentral:tmRNA from 1 species
GGGGGUGACUGGUUUCGACAGGGUAUGUCUGAGACGGUAAGCAGGCCGUGGUCUCCUCGCCACGUUAAACAGGGGUCCCGUCAAAAUGAAUUGACGACAACAACUCUUUUGAGCCUCAACUGGCUCUCGCCGCAUAACAUAAGUCGGCGCGUCUAACCGGGAUUUCUCUCGCUCCCGGGGCGAUGUCAUCUUAGAGAGGCGCUCGCGUGGACGUAGCUGGUAUGCCACGCGCUAAGAUUGAACCCGCUAGGAAGCCGAACGCGCGUUGCCAGGUGUGAAGCGACCGAAGUCUAACUGGUAACUGAGCUUGGAGAAAGCCGUCAGGGGUAUGCUUUGGACCGGAGUUCGAUUCUCCGCACCUCCACCA